GAUGAACGCUGGCGGCGUGCCUAAUACAUGCAAGUCGAGCGAACAGACGAGGAGUUUGCUCCUCUGACGUUAGCGGCGGACGGGUGAGUAACACGUGGAUAACCUAUCUAUAAGACUGGGAUAACUUCGGGAAACCGGAGCUAAUACCGGAUAAUAUAUUGAACCGCAUAAUUCAAUAGUGAAAGACGGUUUUGCUGUCACUUAUAGAUGGAUCCGCGCCGCAUUAGCUAGUUGGUAAGGUAACGGCUUACCAAGGCAACGAUGCGUAGCCGACCUGAGAGGAUGAUCGGCCACACUGGAACUGUGACACGGUCCAAACUCCUACGGGAGGCACCAGUAGGGAAUCUUCCGCAAUGGGCGAAAGCCUGACGGAGCAACGCCGCGUGAGUGAUGAAGGUCUUCGGAUCGUAAAACUCUGUUAUUAGGGAAGAACAAAUGUGUAAGUAACUAUGCACGUCUUGACGGUACCUAAUCAGAAAGCCACGGCUAACUACGUG
rnacentral:rRNA from 1 species